GACGAACGCUGGCGGCGUGCUUAACACAUGCAAGUCGAACGAGAAAGCCCUUCGGGGUGAGUACAGUGGCGAACGGGUGAGUAACACGUGGGCAACCUGCCCCGGAGAGCGGGACAACCCGAGGAAACUCGGGCUAAUACCGCAUAAUGCGUCUCCACUUAAGUGGAGCCGCCAAAUGGUAGCUUCGGCCUCCGCUCUGGGAUGGGCCCGCGCCGGAUUAGCUAGUUGGUUGGGGUAACGGCCCACCAAGGCGACGAUCCGUAGCUGGUCUGAGAGGACGAUCAGCCACACUGGGACUGAGACACGGCCCAGACUCCUACGGGAGGCAGCAGUGGGGAAUAUUGGACAAUGGGCGCAAGCCUGAUCCAGCCAUGCCGCGUGAGUGAUGAAGGCCUUAGGGUUGUAAAGCUCUUUCGUCCGGGACGAUAAUGACGGUACCGGAAGAAGAAGCCCCGGCUAACUUCGUGCCAGCCGCCGCCGUAA
rnacentral:rRNA from 1 species